AGCAGCCGCGGUAAUUCCAGCUCCAAUAGCGUAUAUUAAAGCUGUUGCAGUUAAAAAGCUCGUAGUUGAAUUUCGGGAUUUGUCAGUUGGUCGGGCUUCACUGUCCGUAUUGACUUGAUGGAUUCUUACCUUCUGAAUAACCAGCAUGCUAUUAAGUUAGUGCGUUGGGGAAGCAGAUCUAUUACCUUGAAAAAAUUAGAGUGCUUAAAGCGAGCUAGUGCUUGAAUAGAUUAGCAUGGAAUAAUAAAAUAGGACGGCAUGGUUCUAUUUUGUUGGUUUCUAGGAUCACCGUAAUGAUUAAUAGGGAUAGUUGGGGGCAUUAGUAUUCAAUUGUCAGAGGUGAAAUUCUUGGAUUUAUUGAAGACUAACUUCUGCGAAAGCAUUUGCCAAGGAUGUUUUCAUUAAUCAAGAACGAAAGUUAGGGGAUCGAAGACGAUCAGAUACCGUCGUAGUCUUAACCAUAAACUAUGCCGACUAGGAAUCGGACGAUGUUAAUUUUAUAAUGACUCGUUCGGCACCU
rnacentral:rRNA from 1 species